GUCUAGAGGCCUAGGACACCGCCCUUUCACGGCGGUAACAGGGGUUCGAAUCCCCUA
rnacentral:tRNA from 2 species